rnacentral:snoRNA from 1 species
GGAAAUGAUGAUAGAUCUUGUCGCCCCAGUCUUACUUUGCAUUACUUAAUGCGUAAUGGUGAUUGACAUUUUAUCUGAUUC